rnacentral:sRNA from 247 species
UUGCUAUCUGCGAUAUGGAAGAUUCGAACCUGCCGCAGGUUCUGGACUCACGCAGUGAGACAACGGAGCCGCUUGCGGCGACGGCCCGAAGGGCGAGCGAAGCGAGUCAUCCUGCACGACCCACCA